UACGUAGGGUGCGAGCGUUAAUCGGAAUGACUGGGCGUAAAGGGUGCGCAGGCGGUUGGUCAAGACGGAUGUGAAAGCCCCGGGCUUAACCUGGGAGUGUCAUUCGUGACUGACGAACUAGAAUAUGGCAGAGGGAGGCGGAAUUCCACAUGUAGCAGUGAAAUGCGUAGAGAUGUGGAGGAACACCGAUGGCGAAGGCAGCCUUCUGGGCUAAUAUUGACGCUCAGGCACGAAAGCGUGGGGGAGCAAACAGG
rnacentral:rRNA from 1 species